rnacentral:lncRNA from 1 species
AAGAAAUAAGAAACACGAAAUAUUUGUUGUUUAAUUAUUGGAAUUCCACUAACUUAAUUGAAAAUUCCAGAGCGCAGAACGGAAUGCAUUUUGCCAGGUAGAGAACAAUGAAUUGAAUUAACACAUAUUUUGUCAUUUUGGAUAUACAAUCAAUAUACUGGAAGAGACUAUAACAGCUCUACACGUUCUUUUAUCUAGCUCUAAGCAUUAACCGAAAUAUGUAGUUAGGAAGCGGAAAGGUUCUUGUAUUCUUAAAUGUUUCACAGAGUCGGAAAUCAUUGUGACUCAAGCCAAAGUCAUUUCCAGCCCGUUACCUUCAGGAACACACUGGUCCGACCAACAAUAAAACCAGGAGCUGAGCAACAAUAGCUGGUCGGGGCAGACAACAACAUCAGUUCUUAAUGCGUCAAACUUCUGCUGCAACACGUACCUCAAGUUGGGGCACUGCGUUUAACGGGGCAACGUUUCCUUUGGGGCAGGUGCUCGAAAGUGGGUUUGUUGCCCCCACCAGACAUUUCCAAACCAGCUUUUGGGUAAAAUAUUGAAAGCAAAUUUGUGAUCAGAAAGAAAAGAACAAGGAGAAACUCUAUAAAGUAAUAACUAUAAAGAAAACUGCAGCGAUUUUCCUCGACCCCCCCCCCCCCCCCCCCCCCCCCCCCCCCACCCCCCCCCCCCCCCCCCCCAACCCC